AUUGAACGCUGGCGGAAUGCUUUACACAUGCAAGUCGAACGGUAGAGGGGGCAACCCCUCGAGAGUGGCGAACGGGUGAGUAAUAUAUCGGAACGUGCCCAGUCGUGGGGGAUAACGUAGCGAAAGUUACGCUAAUACCGCAUACGAUCUAAGGAUGAAAGCGGGGGAUCGCAAGACCUCGCGCGAUUGGAGCGGCCGAUAUCAGAUUAGGCAGUUGGUGGGGUAAAGGCCCACCAAGCCAACGAUCUGUAGCUGGUCUGAGAGGACGACCAGCCACACUGGAACUGAGACACGGUCCAGACUCAUACGGGAGGCAGCAGUGGGGAAUUUUGGACAAUGGGCGAAAGCCUGAUCCAGCCAUUCCGCGUGCAGGAUGAAGGCCCUCGGGUUGUAAACUGCUUUUGUACAGAACGAAAAGGUUUCUACUAAUACUAGGAGCUCAUGACGGUACUGUAAGAAUAAGCACCGGCUAACUACGUGCCAGCAGCCGCAGUAA
rnacentral:rRNA from 1 species